UUUGGGGUCUCAAGCCUCAAGAAAAUAACAACUUCUCUCUCCUUUCUCUUGAGAAGCUGUCUGGGAGCUCUGAGAUGCCUCAUAGGAAGGUCAACUCUUCUGAUAGCCAUGCUGGAGUGAGGUCGUGGGCAUCCAUCGAGUACCUCAGCCCCAGAAGAACAAAGGUUGCCAGUGAGUCUCCAAAGGGGCUGAACUCAUGAGUCAAGCCAUCUAGAAUGCUCCAGAUGAGGCCACUGAUAGCCAGCUACCAUCACUAUGUGGACAGAAGACUCACUCUACUUAACCCAGACCAAAUUUUUCAGUUCAAAACUCAUGAGAUAUAAUGAUGACUGCCUUCAGCUGCCUAAGAACUCCAAAUCGGAGCAAUAGUUUUGCUGAGACUUGAACUCUCAUUGUGUUCUGACACACUGAAGUGGAAAGAACACAGCUUAGAUGGUUGUGCGGGAGGAAAUGCACCAGGAAAUCCCGAGCAGGGUGCAAUCAGUCACCAUUAAUGUUCAGAAGGAUCAAAGCUACUUGAAGAAAUACAGCCACUUACGGAUGGACGGUGAAAUUGAAUUCAUGAAGCAGCGCUUUCUCCAUGGGCGAUUUCUCAGAGCUAAAGCACUAGAACUGCACACUGGCUGCGAGUGUCAGGCUUUCCCACUGCAGUUAGCACACUUUAAAGAACAGCCCCUGGCAUGA
rnacentral:lncRNA from 1 species